ensembl:lncRNA
GGCAGACCCACAAGUCCAGGGAGCCGGAUUGGAUUCGGGACUAUGGGGGAAAACAAGGCAUAGAAGCAAGAUGCAAAACCAAAAAGGCUGGAACCGAAAGAGCUUCCGGGUAAAAUGGUAGCUCCUAGUCGGCCUCAGCAUGGAUGUCCAGCCCUCCUGCGUCUCUCCAGUCGGCCCUGUGCGAUCAGAGGUGGGCACAUGACCCGGUCCAAUCAAAAAAGGCGCCCUGUUUCUGUGGACAUACGGACACACCAGGAUCGCGCGAACGUGGAGGAGCAAGGAAGAACCCCGCUGGGCUAAGAGGAAGGGAGAAGCUUGAAUCCACGCUCACCUGUCUGAAAGCACGAAGGCAACAGCCAACGUACCAGAUUCUUUCUUCUGGAACAGAUAUGGGCACAUGCCAGAAACCCACCCAAUCUUAAUCCUGCAUUCCUCAGACAUGGUGAUGAAUAUAGAGGUGGGCAUGAGACCCACACAGAGACUGUGAGUCCCUCACAGGGUUUGAUAUGUAGACAUUGGGGGAGACAGGUCUCUUUGCAAUGAGAUUCCUAAAGCAGAUGCUGUAAGCCUAGAGCUGUGGGCAACCUAAUUCUCUGGCAGUCUGGAAGAGGGAAGAAAAUGAGGUCACUACACAGAGGAGGCUGAGCUGAGAUUUGGGGAGAGGGUGGAAGAGAGAGACUUGUAGAUAUAAUUUCCACCUGGGCUUGAAACCAAAUCCUUCCAUGAACUUCUCUUUCCCUCUCCGUUCAAAUCCUUUCCCUUUUUGGCUUAAAUUAAUUUGGGUUGUGUUUCUGUGAAUUUCAACUAAAGUAGUCUCUAUGUAUUUUUAUUUUUCUAGAUAUAAAAGUAAUGCAUGCUCACUCUAAAAGGAAUUUGGAAGAUACAAGUGAGUAAAGAGAAAAAAGAAAAUUAUUCUCUCAUGCUUUGGGUAUAACCAGGCUAACAUUUUAGAAAUUUUGCAGUAUUUGAAAUGCUUGCUUUACAUGGUUAUGAUCAUGAUAAAUUUAUUUUGCAUAGUUAUGAUUAUAAUAAAUAUUCAAGCUUAAUCUCCUGCUUUUCUACU